CCUGGUAAUUCAUAAGAUGACAUUGUCUGAUCCCUCUUACUUUUCAAAUUUUUUCC
rnacentral:sRNA from 1 species